GAUGAACGCUGGCGGCGUGCCUAAUACAUGCAAGUAGAACGCUGAAGGAGGAGCUUGCUCUUCUGGAUGAGUUGCGAACGGGUGAGUAACGCGUAGGUAACCUGCCUGGUAGCGGGGGAUAACUAUUGGAAACGAUAGCUAAUACCGCAUGACAACAGUUAUUGCAUGAUAACUGUUUAAAAGGGGCAACUGCUCCACUACCAGAUGGACCUGCGUUGUAUUAGCUAGUUGGUGAGGUAACGGCUCACCAAGGCGACGAUACAUAGCCGACCUGGGAGGGUGGUCGGCCACACUGGGACUGGGACACGGCCCAGACUCCUACGGGAGGCAGCAGUAGGGAAUCUUCGGCAAUGGACGGAAGUCUGACCGAGCAACGCCGCGUGAGUGAAGAAGGUUUUCGGAUCGUAAAGCUCUGUUGUAAGAGAAGAACGAGUGUGAGAGUGGAAAGUUCACACUGUGACGGUAUCUUACCAGAAAGGGACGGCUAACUACGUG
rnacentral:rRNA from 1 species